rnacentral:tRNA from 1 species
GGCCUGUUAGUCGAGCGGUUAAGAUGCCUCCCUUUCACGGAGGAGACCAGGGGUUCGAGACCCCUACAGGCUA